rnacentral:rRNA from 1 species
UACGGGGGGAGCAAGCGUUGUUCGGAUUUACUGGGCGUAAAGGGCGCGUAGGCGGUCGUGACAAGUCACUUGUGAAAUCUCCGGGCUUAACUCGGAACGGUCAAGUGAUACUGUCGGACUAGAGUACAGAAGGGGCAACUGGAAUUCUCGGUGUAGCGGUGAAAUGCGUAGAUAUCGUAAGGAAGACCAGUGGCGAAGGCGAGUCUCUGGACAGUUACUGACGCUGAGGCACGAAGGCCAGGGGAGCAAACGGG